UCGGGGGCCGCAAGGCGGCAGGUCACCUGAGCCUGAAAGCGGUUUAGUGGCCUCCGAAAGCAGAUCCGGAGAGCACCGGUUCCGUGCCAAGAUUGCUCCAGAAAAGGUGUGGUAGUUGAUACCAGAAAGAACGUGUAGCUGCACGUGAAAUGGAGAACUCAGCGAACGGCGACUUUAGAGACUAUUCCCAGGAAGCUGUUGAAACUCCCUUUGCUGCGGGGAAAUGCCCUGUCUCCUCCGGACUGACACGACUGCCUACUUCCGCUGGUGGAAAACAAAACAAAAGAAGCCUAGAGUCUGUUCCUCUGUCUGGGCGACAAGAUUUACAGCCGGGGAUUCUCUUUCUCUGCCUUCUCUGGCACCUGCCUCUGGUUGCCCUCCCUUCCCCCCCUCCCAUUUCUGCCCCACCUGGGGGGGUGUGGCCUUCGUGAUUGGCUCCUCCCCCCCCACCCUUGCGGUCUGGAGAGAAGACCGCCCAAGUCAGAUUUCCCACCAACGUUUCCAGGUAAAAAUUAAUCAUGGGCGACAAAUUGUCUUAAGUGAAUCCAAUUAAAACGGAGUCAGUGUGUAAGUUAA